AUAAAGGGAGUGAAAAGCUCCCUCGCCGAAAGCCCAAGGUUUCCUGCGCAACGUUCAUCGGCGCAGGGUGAGUCGGCCCCUAAGGCGAGGCUGAAAAGCGUAGUCGAUGGGAAACAGGUCAAUAUUCCUGUACCUCUUUGUAAUGCGAUGGGGGGACGGAGAAGGUUAGGUCAUCCGGGUGUUGGACGUCCCGGUUCAAGCGUGUAGGAAGGUCUCUUAGGCAAAUCCGGGAGAUCAAUUCUGAGGCGUGAUAACGAGUGGUCUUUGACCGCGAAGUGAUUGAUACCAUGCUUCCAAGAAAAGCCUCUAAGCUUCAGUUACAUAGAGACCGUACCGCAAACCGACACAGGUGGGCAGGAUGAGAAUUCUAAGGCGCUUGAGAGAACUCAGGAGAAGGAACUCGGCAAAUUUGCACCGUAACUUCGGGAUAAGGUGCGCCCUGAUAGGUUGAAGCCCCUCGCGGGUGUAGGCUGAAAGGGUUGCAGUGAAAUGGUGGCUGCGACUGUUUAAUAAAAACACAGCACUCUGCAAACACGAAAGUGGACGUAUAGGGUGUGACGCCUGCCCGGUGCCGGAAGGUUAAGUGAUGGGGUGCAAGCUCUUGAUCGAAGCCCCGGUAAACGGCGGCCGUAACAAUAACGGUCCUAAGGUAGCGAAAUUCCUUGUCGGGUAAGUUCCGACCUGCACGAAUGGCGUAACGAUGGCCACACUGUCUCCUCCUGAGACUCAGCGAAGUUGAAAUGAUUGUGAAGAUGCAAUCUCCCCGCGGUUAGACGGAAAGACCCCAUGAACCUUUACUGUAGCUUUGCAUUGGACUUUGAACCAACCUGUGUAGGAUAGGUGGUAGGCUGUGAAACUGGGACGCUAGUUCUGGUGGAGCCAACCUUGAAAUACCACCCUGGUUUGUUUCAGGUUCUAACCAUGGCCCGUGAAUCCGGGUCUGGGACCGUGCAUGGUAGGCAGUUUGACUGGGGCGGUCUCCUCCUAAAGUGUAACGGAGGAGUACGAAGGUACGCUAGGUACGGUCGGACAUCGUGCUCAUAGUGCAAUGGCAAAAGCGUGCUUGACUGCGAGACUCACACGUCGAGCAGGUACGAAAGUAGGUCAUAGUGAUCCGGUGGUUCUGUAUGGAAGGGCCAUCGCUCAACGGAUAAAAGGUACUCUGGGGAUAACAGGCUAAUACCGCCCAAGAGUUCAUAUCGACGGCGGUGUUUGGCACCUCGAUGUCGGCUCAUCACAUCCUGGGGCUGUAGUCGGUCCCAAGGGUAUGGCUGUUCGCCAUUUAAAGUGGUACGUGAGCUGGGUUUAAAACGUCGUGAGACAGUUUGGUCCCUAUCUGCCGUGGGCGCUGGAAAUUUGAAGGGGGCUGCUCCUAGUACGAGAGGACCGGAGUGGACGAACCUCUGGUGUACCGGUUAUGACGCCAGUCGUAUUGCCGGGUAGCUAAGUUCGGAAGAGAUAAACGCUGAAAGCAUCUAAGCGUGAAACUCGCCUUGAGAUAGGAUUUCCCUGGGGACUUGAUCCCCCUGAAGGGUCGUGGUAGACCACCACGUUGAUAGGCUGGGUGUGGAAGCGCAGCAAUGCGUUAAGCUAACCAGUACUAAUUGCCCGUGAGGCUUGAUU
rnacentral:rRNA from 1 species